CAGCCGCCGCGGUAAUACGAAGGGGGCUAGCGUUGUUCGGAAUUACUGGGCGUAAAGCGCACGUAGGCGGAUAUUUAAGUCAGGGGUGAAAUCCCAGAGCUCAACUCUGGAACUGCCUUUGAUACUGGGUAUCUUGAGUAUGGAAGAGGUGAGUGGAAUUCCGAGUGUAGAGGUGAAAUUCGUAGAUAUUCGGAGGAACACCAGUGGCGAAGGCGGCUCACUGGUCCAUUACUGACGCAGAGGUGCGAAAGCGUGGGGAGCAAACAGGAUUAGAUACCCCCGUAGUCCCUGUCUCUUAUAC
rnacentral:rRNA from 1 species